rnacentral:rRNA from 1 species
AGAUACCAGCUGGCUGCAACUGUUUAUUAAAAACACAGCACUGUGCAAACACGAAAGUGGACGUAUACGGUGUGACGCCUGCCCGGUGCUGGAAGGUUAAUUGAUGGGGUUAUCCGUAAGGAGAAGCUCUUGAUCGAAGCCCCAGUAAACGGCGGCCGUAACUAUAACGGUCCUAAGGUAGCGAAAUUCCUUGUCGGGUAAGUUCCGACCUGCACGAAUGGCGUAAUGAUGGCCAGGCUGUCUCCACCCGAGACUCAGUGAAAUUGAACUCGCUGUGAAGAUGCAGUGUACCCGCGGCAAGACGGAAAGACCCCGUGAACCUUUACUAUAGCUUGACACUGAACAUUGAGCCUUGAUGUGUAGGAUAGGUGGGAGGCUUUGAAGUGUGGACGCCAGUCUGCAUGGAGCCAACCUUGAAAUACCACCCUUUAAUGUUUGAUGUUCUAACGUUGCCCCAUUAUCUGGGGUGCGGACAGUGUCUGGUGGGUAGUUUGACUGGGGCGGUCUCCUCCCAAAGAGUAACGGAGGAGCACGAAGGUUGGCUAAGCAUGGUCGGACAUCAUGCGGUUAGUGCAAAGGCAUAAGCCAGCUUGACUGCGAGAGUGACGGCUCGAGCAGGUACGAAAGUAGGUCUUAGUGAUCCGGUGGUUCUGAAUGGAAGGGCCAUCGCUCAACGGAUAAAAGGUACUCCGGGGAUAACAGGCUGAUACCGCCCAAGAGUUCAUAUCGACGGCGGUGUUUGGCACCUCGAUGUCGGCUCAUCACAUCCUGGGGCUGAAGUAGGUCCCAAGGGUACGGCUGUUCGCCGUUUAAAGUGGUACGCGAGCUGGGUUUAGAACGUCGUGAGACAGUUCGGUCCCUAUCUGCCGUGGGCGUUGGAAGAUUGAAAGGGGCUGCUCCUAGUACGAGAGGACCGGAGUGGACGCACCACUGGUGUUCGGGUUGUCAUGCCAAUGGCAUUGCCCGGUAGCUAAGUGCGGAAGAGAUAACCGCUGAAAGCAUCUAAGCGGGAAACUUGCCUUGAGAUG